GAGCCCAGCUGAUCAGGAAGAUCACAGAAGAGCAGCUCGCCCUCUUCGCCAACGUGCAGGCUCCUGGUUCUUCUUGUUUGUAUUUUUUAUCACUGAGUGGCGUCAGCUCCGCCAAGACCUGCACGUUGGCGUCUCCCCCACCCCUGGGAUCCAGGACGUAGUCUGAGGCUGACAUUUGGACGUAAGACUGACUGAGGGCAUGUGGGGCCUUCGCACUUCACAUCACCCCUUUCACCCAUCAAGACAUACAAGAGCAAAGGCCACGGGAGGACGUAGUGAGAAAAGACAGCCGUCUGCAAGUAGGAAGAGAGUUGGAACUGAAAAAGAAUCAGCUGGAAACUUGCUCUUGGACGUCUAGCCUCCAAAACUAACACUUCUGUGAAGAAGGCACUUAUUAUUUUCCCAGAGACUCUGAAGAGGUUGAAUGAAUUUUGCAACUAUUUACCAAGCUGGCAAGUAACAAAUGAAAGCUUAAUACUGUCA